AUCUGAACCAAGAGCGAGAAAAGCGGGCGGUGUUUCUCACAGCCCGCCUCCACCCUGGAGAAUCACCUGCUUCCUUCAUCUGUCAGGGUGUCAUCGACUUUCUGGUCAGCCGGCAUCCGAUCGCUCAGGUCCUACGUGAUCAUGUGGUCUUUAAGAUCGUUCCCAUGCUCAACCCUGACGGCGUGUACCUGGGAAACUACAGGUGUUCUCUAAUGGGCUUCGAUCUGAAUCGUCACUGGCAAGACCCUUCCCCUUGGGCCCAUCCCACUCUACAUGCCGUCAAAUAACUCAUUGUCCAAAUGAACCAGGACCCAAAAGUGAGUUUGGAGUUCUACAUCGACGUGCACGCACACUCCACCAUGAUGAAUGGCUUCAUUCAUGGUAAUGUCUUUGAGGAAGAGGAGAGAGGGCAGAGACAGGCCGUGUUUCCUUGACUCCUGUGCCAAAACGAACCUGACUUCUCUCUUUCCAGUACAUCGUUUAACCGUGAUGUGGUCAAGGCUGGUACCGGCCGACAGUUCUU